UUCGGGAAGAUCCGUCAGAUUCCAAUGUUGUUGCAGAUUUCAUCCGCUUCUGUGCUGCCAAGAAAUCGAAAUCUGGUCGUGGUUCCUUCCCGAUCAUUCCGACAAAGAAACGGUCGUCGAGAAGGAGGCCCAACAAGAAAACAUGUUCCGGGUUUUCGUCAGUCCCCAUUAUCCUUCCCAAGAAGAAGAGGUCGCUGAGAAGGAGGGCAGCCCCAUCUCUGGAUAUGACGUCGAAAAAUCUGAAAAGGAAGCGGCUUUCUGGGUGUGAAUCUUCUACAAACAACGAUAGGGAUGAAGGGUUUCUUCUUCAGAAGAAACAGAAGUUCGUUGAUCCGAUCCGUGGUAGUUGAGCACUGACGACCCUUAAUUUACCACAACGAGACAGGUUUGCGUGUUGGUUCGGUCAAUUUUAUAGCUUUAUUUUUGGUAGAAUUCAAGUUUCAACUUCACUUAUUAGAAAUGAAAUCCUAAUUUCUCCAAGUUUUCGUAAGUGGUCAAGGAUCCGGCAGUGAAGUCUAUGAUUCUCGACUUUUAAGUAUAUAGGGUGAAUCUUAUGUUUCGUUUAGGAAUUAUUGUUUCAGUUGUGUACGAGCCUAUGAUUCUCGAAACAUUUAGCUGCUGUUUGUUAAGGCACUGUUAUGUUGGAACUCUUCAAGAGACAGUAUCCUACAUACCAAACAAGGCCUAAUCGGAUAAAUGGUCCCCAUGGUCAUAAGGUAUUCGGAUGAUAGCCCCUGUGAUAAAAAAAUUCGAAUUUAAACCCCUGUGGUCAUAGUCUGUUAGGAUUUAAACCCCUGUGGUCUAAGUCUGUUAGGAUUUAUGCCCUUCUGUCAUUCCUCCAUUAGAUUUAGGUUGGCAAAAUUGAAUAAAUGAUCCCCGUGAUCAUAACGUAUUCGGAAGAUAGUCCCUGUGGUAAAAAAAAUUCGGAUUUAAACCCCUGUGGUCUAAGUUUGUUAGGAUUUAUGCCUAAAACUAGAGGUUUUGUCAUUUCUCUGCUAAGCUUACAGGUGGAACUAAUAAAAAAAAAAAGGUCGUACCCAGUACACAAGGCUCCCGCUUUACACAGGGUCUGGGACAGGUGGAACUAAUAAAUCACAUAAUUCAUUAAAAUUCAAGAUCUAAUAAAUCAAAUAAUUCAAAAUGCCUUUAUAAAAUUAACGAGUUUUUGACUCCCGAAUGUCCAACCGAUUAAUUAAUUCUUUAUAUAUAUUCUAUUUUUCUUUGACAAAUAAGACAGUAAUCGUUGGCGUUUUCCCAGAAUUUUACGUAAACCUCUUUGAGAUAAAUAGUUUUUUUGUGUAAUUGUAAAUGUGAAGUAAGUCUUCGUAUCCUAUUGGUGAAACUAACUAUUUGAAAUUCAACAGAUCAUCUGUUUUCGUCUUUUUUCUUCUUGUGAAAUAACUAAGAUGAAUAAAUUUUUUUACCAUAAACUGAAAUCUUCUCUCCCCCCUUCUUAUUGUAAGAUAUUUUUUAUUGAUAGAUACUCAGAGAAACUCUGCUCCACCUGUAAGCUUAACGAAGGAAUGACAUAACCUCUAAUUUCUGGCAUAAAUCCUAAUAGACUUAGACCACAGGGGUUUAAAUCCGAAUUUUUUCUACCACAGGGGCUAUCUUCCGAAUUCCUUAUGACCACGGGGACCAUUUAUCCGAUUUGGCCAACCUAAACCUAAUGAAGGAAUGACAGAAGGGCAUAAAUCCUAACAAACUUAGAUCACAGAGGUUUAAAUCCUAACCGACUGUGACCACAAGGGUUUAAAUCCGAAUUUUUUUACCACAUGAGCUAUCAUCCGAAUACCUUAUGAUCACGAGGACCAUUUAUCCGAUUAUGCCUACCAAACAAAUAAGAGUCGGAACGUUUCACUUGUCCUCUACAGAUUGCAAUGAUGGGAACAGUAACCAUCAUUCAGUUUUAAGUGCAAUCAGCCCACGAUGUACAGUGGUUGAGCUUUGCCGGGAACAUUCAGCUCUUUUGGCAAUGUGGAAAGGUGUUAGCUCUUAAGAGCAAUUCCACUCCUAAGGACUUUGCGCCAGCACCCAGCGCAUUUAUCUACUCAAAUGAACAGUAAUAGACUGGAGUGAAUAGUAAUAGGCCAAGGCAUCUCCACCCCUAAAAAAAUGCGCUGGUACCCAGCGCAUUUAUUUGGUGUGUUUUUUUUUUUAAGUUUAUUUCGGAUAAGAUUUUUAACCAAUUUCAGAUAAAAUUUCAAAUAAACUUAAAAAAAAAUACACACUAAAAUAAAAUUACAUACUCAUCAAAUAAACUAAAAAAAAAACACACUAAAAUGAAAUUACAUAAACUCAUCAAAUACACUUUAUUCUUCAACCACAAGUUUUUU
rnacentral:lncRNA from 1 species